ACGAACGCUGGCGGCGUGCUUAACACAUGCAAGUCGAGCGGUAAGGCCCUUUCGGGGGUACGACGAGCGGCGAACGGGUGAGUAACACGUGGGUGACCUGCCUUUAGUCUCUGGGAUAAGCCUGGGAAACGUGGGUCUAAUACCGGAUAUGACCCUAUGGCGCAUGUUGUGGGGUGGAAAGCCUUGUGCGGCUAGGGGUGGGCCCGCGGCCUAUCAGCUUGUUGGUGGGGUGAUGGCCUACCAAGGCGACGACGGGUAGCCGGCCUGAGAGGGCGACCGGCCACACUGGGACUGAGACACGGCCCAGACUCCUACGGGAGGCAGCAGUGGGGAAUAUUGCGCAAUGGACGGAAGUCUGACGCAGCAACGCCGCGUGAGGGAUGACGGCCUUC
rnacentral:rRNA from 1 species